rnacentral:rRNA from 1 species
UACAGAGGUGGCAAGCGUUGUUCGGAAUUACUGGGCGUAAAGGGCGCGUAGGCGGCCUUCUAAGUCAGACGUGAAAUCCCCCGGCUUAACCUGGGAACUGCGUCUGAUACUGGGAGGCUUGAGUGCGGGAGAGGGAUGCGGAAUUCCAGGUGUAGCGGUGAAAUGCGUAGAUAUCGGGAGGAACACCAGUGGCGAAGGCGACUACCUGGCCUGUUCUUGACGCUGAGGCGCGAAAGCUAGGGGAGCAAACGGG